rnacentral:rRNA from 1 species
UAGAUGCGAGAGUAGAGCAUAUCAAUAAGCGGAGGAAAAGAAACUAACAAGGAUUCCCUAGUAACGGCGAGUGAAGCGGGAAGAGCUCAAAUUUGAAAUCUUCAAGGGUUCUACCUUUACGAAUUGUAGUUUAUAAGAAGUGUUUUCUGUUAGUAGAGUGGCUAAAAGUUCUUUGGAAUAGGACAUCAUAGAGGGUGAGAAUCCCGUAUUUGUACAGUUACUUUCUAGCUGUGUGAUACACUUUCAACGAGUCGGAUUGUUUGGGAAUGCAGUCCAAAAUGGGUGGUAAAUUUCAUCUAAAGCUAAAUAUUGGCGAGAGACCGAUAGCGAACAAGUACCGUGAGGGAGAGAUGAAAAGAACUUUGAAAAGAGAGUUAAACAGUACGUGAAAUUGUCAAAAGGGAAGCGUUUGACACCAGUGUUGUUUAGUUGAAAAUCAAUUCAAUAGUUUUUGAUUCUAAGUAGUAUUGACUUCAUCAGCUUGCUGCUUUCUUCUCAGAAAUUAUUGAAUGCACUUUUCAGUUAACAAGACAACAUCAAUUUCUUUUGUUGUAAAAGGGUCAUUGGAAGGUGGCUUUCUUUUCGGAGAAAGUGUUUAUAGCCUUUGAUCUCUGCAACCGGAGAGACUGAGGUCUGCAGCGUAGACUCUUCGGGGUUAGAUACAUUUGUGCUAAGCUAUAGCUUUUUAUAGACAACUUGUUGACUAUAUUUAGUCUUGUGGCUUACUCGCUUAUGCUAUUUUACCUACGCUUAGGAUGUUGACACACGCGCGUGCUCG